AACGAACGCUGGCGGCAGGCUUAACACAUGCAAGUCGAACGCGUGUAGCAAUACACGAGUGGCGCACGGGUGAGUAACGCGUGGAUAUCUGCCUUUUGGUUCGGAAUAACCCCGGGAACUGGGGCUAAUACCGGAUGGUUCCUUCGGGAUAAAGAUUUAUCGCCAAAAGAUGAGUCCGCGUACGAUUAGCUAGUUGGUGAGGUAAUGGCUCACCAAGGCGACGAUCGUUAGCUGGUCNGAGAGGACGAUCAGCCACACUGGGACUGAGACACGGCCCAGACUCCUACGGGAGGCAGCAGUGGGGAAUAUUGGACAAUGGGGGCAACCCUGAUCCAGCCAUGCCGCGUGAGUGAUGAAGGCCUUC
rnacentral:rRNA from 1 species